AGCCGCGGUAACACCAGCUCCAUUAGCGUAUAUUAAUGUUGUUGCAGUUAAAAAGCUCGUAGUUGGAUUUCUGACAUAAAGGGCCUGGCCCGGCGUCCUAAAAUGUGACGUUGUGUGCCGGUGGUUCAAUCUGGUUCGCUGGGUUUCUGGUGACCUUCGGUCGCCCGGUCUAGGUCUCUGGUCGCUCCUAACGGAGCUGAUCGGGACUGCCGUGGUUUUGUCCGUUGGUUCGCCGUCCGGCGGAUUGCCUUUUGGUCAUCCUUUAAG
rnacentral:rRNA from 1 species